UACAGAGCCUGCAAGCGUUAUUCGGAUUCACUGGGCGUAAAGGGUGCGCAGGCGGCCGUGUGUGUGAGGCGUGAAAGCCCGGGGCUCAACCCCGGAAUUGCACCUCAAACUACAUGGCUAGAGCAUUGGAGAGGGUAGCGGAAUUCACGGUGUAGCAGUGAAAUGCGUAGAUAUCGUGAGGAACACCAGAGGCGAAGGCGGCUACCUGGACAAUUGCUGACGCUCAGGCACGAAAGCGUGGGGAGCAAAAGGG
rnacentral:rRNA from 1 species